UCUUGGGCUGAUCCACCACCUUUUACAUGAUCGUCCUUGCCUCAUGAGGCAUGGAGCUCCAGACAAAGGGCAAUUGACGGUUGAAAUGGAAGUAACAACUGGACAACGGGACAAGAGAAUUCUCAAUCUUCAAAAAAGCAAACCAAAAAAAAACCUUUGAAGUCCCAGCUGAAUCCCAGACUGCAUGCCCUUCUAAACGGCCCCAAACCAAGGAGAGUGCAUGACCUGCUGAGAAGCCCCAGGCACAAGCAUCUUCAUUGGGUCCUGUCCAAUCCAAGCCAGAGCCCCUAGGUCCUGAGCUGCCUGACCCUGAAUCAUGACCCUAUGGAUCCCGAGCUACUUGAGCUUCCCGAAUUUGUGGACCUAGAUCCCAAGCAGUCCUGUCACCCUUCAUUUUGACCCUUGAGAGUCUCUUCCUCCACCUUCCACCUCCUCUUGCACCAGAUGGCUUCUUUCUCCACCAAUGCUGGCCAAUGGUUGAGGAGUUGGGGUUUACUGGCUUUCCGGUGUGCCCUCUGAACUGUUUUGCCUACUCUACUGGCUUCUUGCUAAGAGUUUAGAAAAGGUUGUUCAAAAUGGAGCUGUGAGGAUUCUAACCAGGGGCAAUUCUAGGAUUAGAGCUUUGGGGGUGCUGAGCACCCAGAGAGCUGCCCAUCCAGGCAAGAUAAACUUUACACAUCAGAAUGAGACUUCUUCCCC